rnacentral:lncRNA from 1 species
GACCACAACUAAAGGCUGAAUUCCAUCCUCUGUGUACACGUUCACAGACAUGCAAAGAGCCCACCCACACAUACAGCCCCCCGACUGGGAAAACAUCUUCAUCGUCUUCCUCACCAUGGUGUCUGCUCCGUCAUGUUCAGGGCACUCUGGCUAAUAUGACAGUUCUGGUGGCGCUGUAAGGACUCGGUUUCUUCAAUGCCAGCAACUUCCUCUAUCAGAAGACUCAGCCUUUCCUUCUCGUGCAGUUAUCUGCCUCCUGGAGGAAAUCAGGAUGAUGUCAAGGAUGAUGAUGGUCUUCAUCUCUGGAAAAGUGAGCAGAUGCAGGGGGUGGGGGGAGGCACAAGACUCCUGAGUGGGCGGGCCUAGGCCCCGAGAGGCUCUCGCCAAGUUAGCCCUGGUCCCUACAGCUUCCUUCUGGACUCUGAAUUCUGCGUUCUUUGAUAGGACCACCAAUGAGGCAGCAGGUUACACACAAUCAGCGGCUGGACGCGCUGUUUGGGCCCAGCGGCCG